rnacentral:rRNA from 1 species
GUCUUAUUGAUUAAUAAUUUUAAGUCUUGCCUGCCCCCUGUAGAAUAAAUGGCCGCAGUAUUUUGACUGUGCUAAGGUAGCAUAAUCAUUAGUUUUUUAAUUGAAAGCUAGAAUGAAUGGUAUUAUGAAAAAAUAACUGUCUCUUUUAUAUAGUUAAAAUUUUAUUUUUAAGUAAAAAAGCUUAAAUUUAGUUAAAAGACGAGAAGACCCUAUAGAAUUUUAUUUAAAUUAAUUUUUAAUUUAUUAGUAAAAAGGAUUUAUUAAUUAAUUUAUAUUUAGUUGGGGUGAUUAGAAAAUUAGAUUAUCUUUUCUUUAUAAAGCCAUUAAUAUGUGAUUUUAUGAUUCAUUUUUAUGAUUUAAGAAUAAGUUACCUUAGGGAUAACAGCGUAAUUUUUUUUUAAAGUUCUAAUUAAAAAAAAAGAUUGCGACCUCGAUGUUGGAUUAAAAUAAAUUUUUGGUGUAGAAGCUAAAAUAUUAAGUCUGUUCGACUUUUAGAAUUUUACA